rnacentral:lncRNA from 1 species
GGAACCCAACCUUGUUUCGAGGACCAUCAGUAUACCUUAAAGACCAAAGCAGCAACACUUAAGAUUUACAUAUUGACCAAGCAUUGGUGAUCCAGGAUGCUUUUGAUAAAAGGAAAUGCAAAAAAUACCAUUUUAUAAAUAGUGGUGUUCAUCAUUCAAGCACUGAGAUAACUUAAAUCUCUGACAAGUUCCUUGGGCUCAAUCCUGAGAAGCAAUUCCUCUGGACAUGCCUGGACUCUCCCACACAGAGCCUCUCUUCCUGUCUCUCAGGUGAAAAAAGGAUGAGUGCCAGUGCUCUAGGGCAUCUCAAGUCUCCCCCAGUCUCCCUCCCUGCUACCCCUGCGGGGCAAGAAGAACACU